AACGAACGCUGGCGGCAUGCCUAACACAUGCAAGUCGAACGAGACCUUCGGGCCUCUUGGCGCUCCUGUGCGUCAGGCGUGGGAACCUGCCCUUAAGUUAGGCAUAACUGCCCGAAAGGGAUUGUAAUCACGAGCGAUCUCAUCGGGCCCAUGAUUUAUCGCCUUUGGGUGGGCCCGCGUUGGAUUAGCUAGUUGGUAGGGUAAAAGCCUACCAAGGCGACGUUCGUGAGCUGGGGGGAGGGGAUGAUCAGCCACAAUGGGACUGAGACACGGCCCAGAAUCCGACGGGAGGCAGCAGUGGGGAAUACUGGACAAUGGGCGACAGCCGGAUCCAGCAAUGCCGCGUGAGUGAUCAAGGCCUUAGGGUUGUAAAGCUCUCUUGCCCGUGACGAUAAUGACAGUACCGGGAGAAUAAGCGCCGGCUAACUCCGUG
rnacentral:rRNA from 1 species